GUCCGCCCGCCGCCGGAUUUGUGAUAGGCCACGUCUUCAACCACCGCGACGUGAUGGGGUGCCGGAUCAGGGUGGUUUCGGGGGUCAAGAAGCCAUUGGCCUCGCCGGAAAAUUGCUCUUCCCUCCUCCCGGAUGCCUGGGGCGCUGCUACGCCAGGCGCCGGAUCCCUCGGCCACCGCUGCGCCAGGGGACGGAUCCGUGCUCUCUCCCCCGCCGCUGCCAAACUCCUCCCACCGGCCGCGACUACAUGCGCGGGCGUCAGGAAGGUUCAUACCACGGACAUGGCUCCGGUGCAGUGCGCCUCUGCUCUUCAAAGUUGUGGAGACGCGCAUGACAGCUCUGUCUCCCUUUUGCAGUGCACACAGCUCCUUUAUCCUCCCCCUCUCCCCUUCCCCGACGUCCCACCGGCGACACCCGUCGGUAAGCCGGCCCUUGGCGCUCCAUCUUCAGCGGCUGUCUUCGACGCGGCCGCUCUAUGAUGCCGGCGAACUGAUUCUUUGCUGCCACUAUAGUUCACUGUUCAGUUUUCUUGUUUUCCUCUGUCGCCUUCGAACAGUCAAAGACUCAAAAAAGAGAAGACGACCAGCAAAAACAAUGGAGUUGGCUGUGAUGGGGACGACGGCUCAUCCCGGCACGGUUCUGCUUGGCACGCGAUGGGUUCAGGUGUGAAGAUGCGAUGGCUGUGUAAAGAAAAAAUGAGUGUGUGUGAAAGAAAUAUGGUUGUGUUGUUUUUCAGGCACGUGGACGAGAUUUUGUUUACAAAAGCAGUUCAUCU